UACGACAGGUGCUCACGUGAUCCUGGCCUGCAGUCGGGUGGCUGCGGUGAGGUACCUGGGAUCCUGAAGGGCGGGCGGUUAGGUCGUUACCGCCGCCGCCGCUGGCGGACUAAAGCGGGCGGUCAGGAGCGAGCAACCUGGCGGCUGAGGCGUUCACCGCAUAGUGCCUACGGCACCAGGUCAUCUCUUUCUGCGACCUCCGCCUUCGCGGUCCCCACCUUUUUGAGGGCGAAAUCACUUUUGGGUUUCGAGACCUUGUGGCGUGAGGCCCCAAAUCGGGGAGACUCCCCAAUUUACCUGUCUUUUCCUCUAUUCCUCCAUCUCUUCCUUUGCACCACUGAAUCACUUGGUUUUUGGCUGGCCUGCUUGGCGGUUCCUUGAGGCCAAGUUCGGGGCGGUAAAGGUAACGGUGGGGAAAGCGGCCCCCCAGUGGACAAAGGCAGAGGCAAGAAUAGAGCAGGCCUGAGGGCCGCAGUCAAUGAGAAUAGGCAGUUGAGGGGGUGAACGAGAAAAAAAGAGUACUGCGGAUUUAGAAGGGACUGGAAAGGACUUGUUGCACGAUGGAAGAAUCUGACUCUGAGAAAAAGAUGGAGAAAGAGAAUCUGGGGCCGCGAAUGGAUCCUCCACUAGGGGAACCGGAAGGCUCGCUUGGGUGGGUGCUACCAAAUACAGCCAUGAAGAAAAAGGUGCUGUUGAUGGGUAAAAGUGGGUCUGGUAAGACCAGCAUGAGGUCUAUUAUCUUUGCAAAUUAUAUUGCCAGAGACACACGUCGGCUUGGUGCAACAAUACUAGACCGUAUACAUAGUCUUCAAAUUAAUAGCAGUUUGAGCACCUACUCUCUCGUAGACUCUGUUGGAAAUACAAAGACAUUUGAUGUAGAACAUUCUCAUGUUCGAUUUCUGGGCAACCUGGUAUUGAACCUGUGGGAUUGUGGUGGACAAGACACCUUCAUGGAAAAUUAUUUCACUAGCCAACGGGACAACAUCUUCCGAAAUGUGGAGGUUCUGAUUUAUGUCUUUGACGUGGAGAGCCGCGAACUUGAAAAGGACAUGCACUAUUAUCAGUCAUGCCUGGAAGCCAUUCUCCAGAACUCUCCAGAUGCCAAAAUUUUUUGCUUGGUUCACAAAAUGGAUCUGGUACAGGAGGAUCAACGGGACCUGAUUUUUAAAGAGCGAGAAGAAGAUCUGAGGCGUUUGUCUCGCCCAUUGGAAUGUUCUUGUUUCCGAACAUCUAUCUGGGAUGAAACUCUCUAUAAGGCUUGGUCCAGCAUUGUUUAUCAACUGAUUCCCAAUGUUCAGCAGCUGGAAAUGAACUUAAGGAAUUUUGCUGAAAUUAUUGAGGCUGAUGAAGUACUUCUGUUUGAGAGAGCUACUUUUCUGGUGAUUUCUCAUUAUCAGUGUAAAGAGCAGCGUGAUGCUCAUAGAUUUGAGAAAAUCAGCAACAUUAUUAAGCAAUUCAAGCUGAGCUGCAGCAAGCUGGCUGCCUCUUUCCAGAGUAUGGAAGUCAGAAACUCUAACUUUGCUGCUUUCAUUGACAUCUUUACAUCUAACACUUAUGUGAUGGUUGUGAUGUCUGAUCCAUCCAUUCGAGCUUACAAUGUGAGAUUGCCUUGAGCCUCAGAGAAGACUUUGAACUUGAACUUUGAGCAAUCUCGGAACUGUUGACUAUGGGGCUCUUGGGAAUGGAUUAAAUAUAUUUUACAUUAUCAGUCUUCCACCAUGAUGUCCUGCCUCACCUUGAGCGCUGAGGAAUAGAGCCUGCUGUCUAUGGCCUGAGACCUCUGAAACUGUGAGCCCCGCCCAAAUAAACUUUUCCUCCUCAUAAUUUUGCUGAUUGGAUCUUUUAGUUACAAUAGUGAAAAGCUAAUACAGAGUUUCAUUUAACUUUAGUCCCCUAAAGAAAAAAUGAAGCACUGUGGACUGCAAGAAAUGGAGUGUGAGAACACUGACUACAUUUACUUAAAGCCCUAACCAAUUCAGUUUCCAUUAAUGAGAUAACAAAACUCUCUCUCUCUCUCUCUCUCUCUCUCUCUCUCUCUCUCUCUCACACACACACACACACACACACACACACACACACACGGAAUCUAUAGCACAGUAAACUCAUUUCUCCUGUUAGGUCAUAAGAAAACUUCUUCAUGACUACCAAUCUCUCACCUUUCCCUGUCUUAGUUUAUUAUUUCCAAUAGAAGGAUAAUUAGAGUUUUCACUGAGCAGCAAGGAACAUGUUUUUCAGGUAGCCUACAUGAGCAGCAAGGAACAUGUUUUUCAGGUAGCCUACAUUAUAUAGUCUAAGAAUCUCAAGUCUUAAAAGAACUCAUGGGACUAAUUUUAUCAAUAGCUAUGUUCAUAAAAUUCUGCAGGAGAGUUUUAAGUAGAUUUUCUAGAUUCUUUAACCUCUUAGCAUUAAGGAAUAUGAAAACAGCAAAUGAAUAGUGCUCUGUUCUGUGACUAAUAUGAUUCAUGAUUUGGCAUGUUCAUAUUAUCUUUAGUAUCCAGGGUGAGAUUUAGAAGGAGCCACUUACGUCUUUUUUUUUUUUUUUAAAGUUAGAUGAGUAGAAAAGUCAUAAACAUAUCAUUUCUGUAUUUACCACUCCUUGCUCAGAUUCUACGUAUAACUUCGACUGGCAGAUGUAUUGCUAGGAUGAAAGGCUAGAAAAUAAGUUCAUGGUUUGACUUAAUACUUAUUUUUGCGAUUGCCAGCUGACUUUCUUUGUCAUUGAAGACAAAACAUUUCAAGAUAUAAAGUUGUUCAACGCCACAUAGAGACUGAAGCAAAUGUAGGUAGGUAGUAAAGGCAUGUGCACAGAAACAUGGAGCCAAGAAACCAAAAUUAUGAUUAGUGACACAACGAAGUGAUUCUUUUUAAUAGACCCUGUUAGCCAUGUGAGUAGUACAGGGCAGUGGUUCUCAAAACUAAUCAGAAUCACUUGGAGAAGGCUUUAUUUAAACAGGUGCCAUACCCUUACCCUAAGAGGCUUAGAUCUUAGUAGUUCUGAGGCAGGCAUUUCUAUUAGGUCAGGUUCCUAAGUGAUGCUGAUGCUGAUCUUACUGGUCCAAAGAUUAUACUUCGGAAGUCACUGUUUUAAGGGGAAAAGAAGAAAAUGUAGAUGUGGGAGCAGGUGUGAGAAAACAUGUUCACCAGAUAAGUUGAACGUAUAUAAUUAUAUCAAGAAAAUUUUGUUUUAUAUUAUUGGUUCUCAAAAUGAUCUAAAAAUUUGAGAUUGAGGAACAUUGUUUUAAACAAAAGCAAUAACUUGAAAGUUUGGUUUCACAAGUAAUAUGUUGCAAAUGAAAAUUGUUGCUAGUUAAAGGAAGGUAUGGAUACUGAUUUGUAUAGCGACUUAGCUUUUUCCAAUGUCACCCAGCUUUAUCUGAUGACUCAGUACGGUAACAAGAAAGUUGGGCAGGGCUGGGGAUGUGGCUCAAGCAGUAGCGCACUUGCCUGGCAUGCGUGCGGCCCGGGUUCGAUCCUCAGCACCACAUACAACAAAGAUGUUGUGUCCGCCGAAAACUAAAAAAUAAAUAUUAAAAUUCUCUCUCUCUCUCUCUCACUCUCUCUUUAAAAAAAAAAAGAAAGUUGGGCAGGUUGCCAAAUAAAAAUAGUGUUUCCUUUAGUAGAGUUCUUACUCAGUCUCAGGUUAUAAGUACAUUAUGAGGAUUAUAUCAUUUAAUCAACACAAGAACCCCAUUUUGCAAAUGAGCAGACUGGGUUCCAGAAAGGAUAAGAAAUUUCCCUAUAGUUAUGCAAUACUGGUGAAGCUGGGAUUUGAACUCAGGUAAACUAACUCUAGAGCUUGUGCACUUAACCUGAAGUUAUAUGGUCUUCCUGAACUUCAUAGCCUACUUAGGAUGCAGUGGAGAAUAUGAGGUGCACUCAGGUGUGGUAGUUGACUGUGAGACUAUCUCAGUGUUAGCUACUAUAUGAAUAGUGAAACAAACUUGCAAAUAAAUUUUAACUCCUGUUUUCACUGGGGGUCUGCCACAUGCAUUAGGAACUUUGCUACAAUAGGCAUUGCAAAGCAAAGUCAUCAGGAAAAACAAAAUAAAACAAACAAAAAACCUAGCUUGAAGAAUUUAGGUCAAAUUUAAUCAGUUUUUCAGUAUUCACAGAUUUUCCACCUGAAUUGGGCUACUGUGAGGAAUUAUAGAUGCUAUUUCUCUAGAGCCCUUUAAAAAGAGCAGGGAGAAAGUGUUACUUUUUCAGGUAUCCUAUUAGAGUGCAUUACAAAGUCAAGUUUAUGAUUUUCCACUUAGAUUCCUAACCUUCCUUAAAAAGCGGGAAGGUCAUCAGGACCUCCCAGUCUUUAGGCCUCACUAAUGAAAUUGUUUGCCUCAUUAAUGUAGUAAAAAAAUAUUUUGUCCACUCCUGUUGUGUUUCUGAUACUAUUUUCAGAGUCCAGGAUAUAGGAAUGAAUGAAACAGCCCAUGGAGCCUGUAUUCUAGUAAGAGGAGACAGGCAAAAGCCAAGUAAGUAAACAUACUAUACAUUAGAAGAGGUAAGUAAUAUAAAGAAAAUUAAAACAGCAAUAGAAGAAGGUGUUGGGGUAGGCUAGCCACCCAUAUAUAUCCAAAUUCUGAUCCCUGGAACCUGUGAAGAUGUUAUGUUGUGAAGCAAGGAGAAAUUAUGGUUGCAAAUGGAAUUAAGGCUACUAAUAAGCUGUUCCUAAAGUAAGAAAAUAAUCCUGGAUUAUCCAAGUAGCCCAACAUAAAACAAGGGCCUUUAAAUAUAGACAGGGAGCUGGAGAGUCAAUGUCAAAGUAACUCUGUGAGAAAGGUUCAACUCCUUGUUCAUGACUUUGAAGAUAGAGGCAGAGAGCCAUAAACCAAGAAAUUUGAACAGUCACUAGAAAGUGGAAAAGGCAAGGAAAUAUCCAUUCUCUUCUCCAGCCUCAGAAAGGAAACAGGCCUGCUGACACCUGCAUUUUAAUCUAGUGAAAUCCACAUCAGACUUUAACCUCCAGAACUAUAAGAUAAUAAAUUAAGAUUGUUUUAAACCACUAAAUUUCUGGUAAUUUAUUAGAGCAUCAAUAGGAAACUGUACUAGGAUUCUGCAGAGAAAGAAAGUCAAUAGGAUAUGAAUGUGUAAAGAUUUAUUAUAAGGACUUGGCUCACAUGAUUGGAGGCUAAGAAUUCCCAAGGUCUGCAGUUGAGAAGCUGGGGAACCCACAGGAGCUAGUAGUGUUCCAAUAUGAGUCUAAAGACCAGAGAAGCAGGAAAACUGAUGGUAUAACAUCCAGUCCAAACAUUGGUAGCUUCAAGACCCAAGAAGAGCCAGUAUUUUUUUUUUUUUUCACAUCCGAAGGCAGGGAAAUGCUGGCAUUUCAGCUUACAGCAGUCAAGCAGGAGGAGUUCCCUCUUAUGAACAAGGUCACCCUUUCUGUUCUGCGUGUCUUCAGCUGUUUGGAUGAGGCCCACCCACAUUAGGGAAAACAAUCUGCUUUUCUCAGUCUACCAAUUAAAACAUUAUUCUCAUCCACAAACAUCCUCACAGACACACCUAAAAUGAUGUUUGAACAAAUAUUUGAGCACCUUGUGACCCAACCACAUUGAAACAUAAAAUUAAUCAUCACAGAAACUUUUAUUAAGGAGAUCAGAGGUACCUUCCAUGAUAGGAUCAAAUUUGAACAAAUACUGGAAUAAAUGAGAGAAGGAGCCAUGUAUAUAUCCAGGGAAAAUUUUCUAGGUAGAAGAGAGAGCAACUACAAGGCUCUAAGUUGGGAGAGUUUUGAAGUAUUAGAGGAGGAGCAACAGCAAAGUUAGCAUAACUAGACUGUAACCAAAAGUAGUGAGAGAAAUAAGAGGUAAGGUGGAGUGAUGAGGUAAAGAAGUAGUGGAAGGGAAAGACUGGGGCCCUUUAGCCAAUUGUAAAGAUGUUGAUGUAGUUUCCAGUAAGAUGGGAAAGCAGAGUUUGAAGCAGUGGAAUGAUGUGAUCAGACUUACUUUUUGAAAAAGAUCAAAGCCAAAGAAUAGAGUAUUUGUAGAUAAGAGUAAAUGUUGGGUGACCAGUGAGGAGGUUAUUAUGGUAAUAAGUGAGAAAUGAUGGUGGCUUGGAAGCAGUGGAGAUUAUGAGAAGUGGUAGGUUUCUGGCUAAGUUUCUAAGAGCCAUCAUAUUUUCUUUUUGAAGAGUAUAAGGAAUCAGAUAACACCAAGGUUUUGGGCUUAAGCAACUGGGUUAAUAGAGGUGCCAGAGAGUUGAGAAUGCUGAGGGAGAACGUAGCUUGAGAAAGAGUUGGGAAUUUUGGUAUCUCGCAGCAAGCUUGAGAUGCCUAUGAAUACAAUUGUGUCUGCAUACUCAGUAUUAAUCUUGAAUUCAGGAAGGAUUGAUCGAGCCUAGAUAUUCAAGUUUAGUCUUAACAUUGGAUGAGAACAAUUUAAGAGUACAGGUAGACAAAAUAAUUAGGCUGUUAUUUUAAAAAGUAUUUGAAAGCCAGCUAUUGCAGGGAGGAAAUGAUUUGCCAAAGUAUUAUAAUAAAUAGCUGUAGUUGUGGAAUUUUAGACCCCUGUAAGGAAAAAUGUAUUCUCAUUUCUGUAAAAGUGUGAAGGGCAGAGUUUCCUUAAGUCUACUUUCAGCCCCAUGUAUGUCUGUAAUGCUGAAUGCCUACAACAAUAAUCACAGCUAAUAUUUACAGAUCUGUUAAUAUGUAUCAGGCACAGGACCUAAAUAUUACUUACAUAUACUAAUUUACUUAAAUGUCAUAGCAGCCCUAUGAAGUAGGUAAUGUUAUCACCAUUUUGCAUGAAAAAUGGAAUAAUUUGCACAAUAAUCAAACAUUAUAAAUGUAUUUUAUAAUUUUCAAAUAUAUAUUUUUUAUUCUCAACAGUCUUGUGAGAUGGAUAGGGAAGGUAGUAGUACAAUUUUAUAGAUAAGAUCAAUGAGUGACAAUGAGGUUGUGUUAUAUCCAAAGUCACAAAGCUAGUGAAGAGUGUAGCUGGAACUCACACCCAAUUCUACUUAUUUCAAGCCAACUCUGUUUAAUUUGCACUGUCCAAUAGAAUUUCCUGUGAUGAUAGAAAUGUUCUAUAUCUGUUCUCUUCAAUAUGGUAGUCACUCAACACGUGGCUAUGGAAUACUUGAAAUGUGGCUAGUGAAACUAAGCAACUGCUUGUUUGUCAUUAAAUUUGAAUGUAUAUAUAGCCAUUGUGACAAGUAAAUAAUAUAUUGGACCAUACAGCUUAAAAAUAUUUAUAAAUCAUUAACAAAGUAAGAUUAUAGGAAAUAUUACUAGGGUAUCCCUUUAUCACUACAUCAAAGAUGGACCCUGAUGACUUUUUCCAUCUGUAUCAAAAAUGGUUAAUCUUAUAUUGUACUAUUUCAAAAUAUAGAAAAAGAUGGUAUACUCUCCAGUUUGAUGAGAUAAAAUAAAGUCUUUAUCCUGAAACCCCAAAAUAACUUCAUAACAAAUUAAAAUUUCAGGCUGAUCAUAAUUUAUGAAUAUUAGCCAUUCUUGGCAAACCACAUAUUGAAAGGAUUCAACACAAUCAUCAAAUAAAAUUAUCAGCUUGAAAUUAUUACAACAGAAUGGUUAUUUGAAUACACAAAAUAAUCUUUGGUAUAUAGAAAAAAAAUUUAAAACUAAAAGUACAAUAUAUGAUAUACACAGAAUUUAUAUAAACCACCAAUGUUUACUCUAGCCCUAUUAAGCAUUUGCAUGGCCUCCUCCCCUCAAGUUUAGAAUGGUUCUAGCAACUUUCUUUUAACAAAUACAAUUUGGCAAAAAUUACAGGAUGUUACUUCUGAGAUUAAGAUACAAAAACUAACUUCUGCCUUGUUCUCUUUCUCACAUGUUUAUACUGAAGAACUGAGGGUGACUUCUGGUCAACAGCUAGGAAGAACCUGAGACCUCACAAAGUUGUCAAGUCCUUCCAACAACCACAUGAGUGAGCUUGGAAGCAGAUCCUUUCUUAGCAUAGCUUUCAAAUGAAACUACAGCCCCAGCCAACAUCAUGAUUUCCAGCUUAUAAGAUACCUAAAGGCAGAGACAUUCAGCUAAGCCAUAAUUAGUUUCUUUACCUACAGAAACUGUGAGAUAAUAAAUACUUAUUGUUUUAAGCCCUUAA